rnacentral:rRNA from 1 species
CUGUAUUCUCAUACCACCUUGAGAAUGCCAAAUCUCGUCUGAGCUCAGUAGCUAAGCAGGGUUAGGCCUGGUUAGUGCGAGGAUCAGACACCACUGGGAAUACCAAGUGCCCCAGUGGGCAGC